GAUGAAGAACGCAGCAAAAUGCGAUAAGUAAUGUGAAUUGCAGAAUUCAGUGAAUCAUCGAAUCUUUGAACGCACAUUGCGCCCGCCAGUAUUCUGGCGGGCAUGCCUGUUCGAGCGUCAUUUCAACCCUCAAGCACAGCUUGGUGUUGGGACUCGCGUUAAUUCGCGUUCCCCAAAUUGAUUGGCGGUCACGUCGAGCUUCCAUAGCGUAGUAGUAAAACCCUCGUUACUGGUAAUCGUCGCGGCCACGCCGUUAAACCCCAACUUCUGAAUGUUGACCUCGGAUCAGGUAGGAAUACCCGCUGAACUUAAGCAUAUCAAUAAGGGAGGA
rnacentral:misc_RNA from 1 species